AAAAAACCCCCACGCCGAGGGCUAAAACACGCGAGGCGAUUGGGACUCCGCGAGACGCGACGACGACGCGAAUGAUUGGGAGCGCGGGAGCGGCGGGUACUGGGGAGGCGAGCGCGAGGGCACGAGGCGAUCUCUCCGGAGGUAGAUGGCGACUAGCGGAAGCGGGCCGCGACAUGAUCCACGAUCCUAGGAGACGAUAAUUUCAAGGCGAAAAUGCCCUUGUGCUGAUGGAACCUACCAUGAGAAGAAGGAUCAGAGAAAACGAGCUACGCAAUAAUUAACCUGCUCAUCAUUUUUAAUAGGCCUACCGUACCAGCCCACCAAUCUCUGUUAUACUUGUGGUAUUACACUUUAAGAUCAGAGGAGCAGAGUCACGUGAAGGGCAUGUGAUGGCUUGGAUUCUUGGGUGAAUGGCAUGAUGCCAUGAUCAUAGUGCCCGCUCUUGCAUCUGAAACGACAGAUAUGGAUCACAUUCCCAUGUUGGUAUGUUUCUUUUUGGCCUGUGACAAGUUAUACACCUAUUAAUUUUGCAAGCUGUUGGUCAAUCAACCUUUUUGUUCCAGAAAAAAUGAUUUAUGCGGCCUACGACAAAAAUGCAACCUAUGACUGAUAAACAUUAUUCUUUUCAUUGUGCAAGAGGCAUUCAUUGCCAGUCUUUUGUUUGCCUGUUCUUACAUAUUCUUGUGCAUUUGUUCUUUUCAUGUCAUUGACUGAAUAUGUCGGGCAAGGCAGGAUCUAUGCUUAGGAACUUGGAAGCAUGUAUUAAAAAACUCUCUGAUCUGUAUAUCCAUGCGUUAGAAUUUCAUAAUGAUCAUUAGAUCAAUAUCCUGCUUCUGGUGUAGAAACCUUCAUAGACGAAGUUCACAAAUGAGUUUAUUAUGUUAAUUAAUAGAACUACUAAGAUGUACAUCAAUGUUGUGAUUUCGUUAGCUGAAUGAGAAAUUUAUCGCUGUAGUUUCAUGUAGAGACUCUGAUGUGCAUGCAUGCAGCUCGUGUAUCGUGGCCAGAUAGGAUAUCAUAUCACAACUUUUUAAUCAAACGGAGAAAGCGACACUGAUGCUUAAAGAACGUUUGAAUGUAUUAAGAAAUAAAAUGGCCAAUUCAUUAAAUUAGUAGCUUUACGAAAAAUAUGUCAGCCUUAAACUUCAGUGGCUGUUGCUUAGGAUCUGUGAUAUGCUUAUGUUGCACGUAAAUAUAUCAGAGAUCCGGAGAAAAUAUGAACAGGAAUCUCAACUGGAUAAAUACGGGUAUUGGUAAUUGUGUUCGUUUUAAGGGGACUACAAAAGGAACCAACAGGAUUAGGUGUGAUGUUACUGAGUUUUAUGUUCUAAGAUUCAUAAAACUGGUUACCUAAUGCUUUGCCGAACACUUCUUUUUCUCCCUGACCUUGUUCGGUUCCAGUGCCAUACUAUGCAUGCAUAAGGCUGAUGUCUUGAUUGUUAAACAAGAAUUUUAUUUGGAUUACCAUUUUCCUUUGUUAGUCAUUAGUCUCAUGGCAUUCACACCAUUUUCUGCUUCACUUUGCAUAUGAAGAUUGAUAUAAUUUUAAUCUGACUUAUGUGAUUGCUUAAUGCAACAUGUAUGUAUUUGCUAAUUAGUUCCAUCUACAUCUGAAUCCAACAAAAAUAGAAAAUCAAUGUUUGAUUGAAUUGGCACUGAGACAUAUAUUUUUGAGGUAGGUAGAAGUGAUGGAUUUAUAUGUUACACUAGUAAAUAUAAUGUUUUGUGCAAAUUCAUCAUAUUGUGCCACUGCCACACUGAGACAUAAUCCCUCCGAUUGCAAUUGUAUGUCGUUUUAGACUUGUGCAUAAGGAUUAAGAAAAUAGAUCAAAUGGCUUUGUUGCUCUUUAUUUAUUCUGCAUUGGAAAAGUUAACUCAUUCAUUUGUGAGAGUGAUGGCAUUUAUUAAACAAGGGCAAGAAGGGAACAAAAGAGAAAAAAAUGCUAGAAGUUCAAGAAAUGAUUUAUAUUUAGAGAAUAGUUGAGGAGGCUAAAACAACCUACAUUUGCAAUCAGAGGGAGUAUUUUUUUUUUGAGGUAAGUAGAAGUGAUGGAUUUAUAUGUAACACCAGUAAAUAUAAUGUUCUGUGCGAAUUCAUCAAAUUGUGCCACUGCCACAUACCGAUAUAUUGAUUAAAGAUGAAAAUCUUUUAGCAAGUAGAAUUAGCCAUAGUAUCAAAUAAGCUUGGUUUUGAUCAUAUUGCUAUUUGAGUGAUCAUUAGACUAAUUAUUCUAUUAGCCUAGCGGUGCAUCACCUUGAGCGUUAAAAUAGGACACAAGACAAUAAGUUAUUGGAUAACUAUUGGGAGUUCUGCGAACUGAGCAGUAACUCAGUUGGUUAGUGCCUCUAGUAGAGAGGAUGGCCACCCAAGGCGCACCGGUUUAUGGGUACCUCUCUGAGAAACUGAUUUCAGUGAGUUUCCUAGCAUACAGGGUUCGGUACUCCCCUACUUUAAAUUUAAAAAAAAUGCCCGGAGGAGUCUCUCCUCAUGGUCGAGAAAAAACUUCUGGGAGUUCUAAUGACUACCAGCCAUUUAAGCGGACACAACUGUUGGCUUGCAUUUGCUACCUUAUCGGACCAUGAAGAUUGGUAGAAUUGGAUGGACAGAAAACUAUAAUGUGCAAGAUAUGUAACUUCAGCAUUUAGUUAUUUACGUUUCUUCAAAUCUUGAAUAUCUAAAUUUAUGUGUUGUGAUAUGUGCUCAAUCCAGAUUGGACCAUGUUGUUGGGUCAUGCCCUACUGGAAGUUUUGGUAAUAAAAAACUUGUACCGAUCUUGCUUUGCUCCCUGCACAAUGCAUGCCAGUGGAUGCAGCUAACUUUUUUAUAAGAGCAUUGAAUUCAUUUGUCAAUUGACAUAAACGUGGAGAAGCAACUGGCUUGCUAUGAGGGCAGUGAAAGCUGUAAGGACUCCAAUCAUCAGGAAGCAGCUUAGCGCGCUGCUGCUGUCUACUACUCCCCGACAGAUUGGCAUAAUUCAAGGGUGCCAAGGGCCACAAGAGUAUGGUACUUAGUGCCCCAAGUUAAUCAAAUAAAACAGAAAACAAACAUGCUACUUGAUGAGGGAUUAGAGUAGCACAAUGGUCAUGGAUCUGAGAGAAUUUACUUGGGACCUGUAAUGCUAGUUAACUAAGUAAAUUUGGGGUCUUCGAGGUCUCCCUUGGUAUGUCUAUGAGCUGGAAUGCAUGGGGGAGCGUAAACUCCAAGCAUAUCAAAUAUCAUGCUUAUCGUAUCUUUAGAGGGUUGGGAGAAGGUUUUGUUUGUGUGUCCCUGUGAUCUGUUUUAUGUGGCGAUAUUGGAAUUAGGGGGAAGCUUGGGGGUUGUUUGUUUUCGUUAAAAAUACGGCGUUCCACACCCCGAUCACAGCUGUACACUUGUACAGACGUUCGUGGGACGGCUGUCGUAGGUACAGUUUGUUAACAGAUGGGAAGCUUUAUGGAGGAUCUGCUGUGCCAUGUGACGGUAGACCCUCUGGAUCCUGUCAUUUGGUCUGUGCCGGAAGAUUGAUUGGUGCAAGGACAGAAGGUUCCUGGAGAUACACCUAGUUGACUAGCAGAGAAGAGGUGGAGAUUAUUGGUGAGAUAAACAGGCAGCUGUGGAUUGCCCCUAGGAGGGGAACCGGAUUGCACAAAUUAACAAACAAAAAGGACUGCAGUAUAGAAAGGACAAGAGAUGAUUCCCUGCGUUUCUGAAAAGGAAAAGGACGGCCAGAAUGGUUCGACAGCCCAAAAGGAGUUUUGCAAUAUCUUGUGGGGAAGAAUGAGCAAUGGGGGGUUGGAUGCUGUGCAUCCAUGAAUUUUCCUUUUACCCAAUUGAACAUGGCUUUGGGAAGAAGAGAAAGGUAUUUGAUGGAGGCAACUCCCUCAGGUGGGGAGAAGAGCCUGCGCUCCACCUGACCAGUGCAGAGGCUGCUCUGUCUAUGCCUUUGCCUUUUUUCACGAAUGAGGUAAAAAGGAGCUGUGCACUCGAAACUUUGAUGCUGGCAACCUAUAUGUACCGGCAUCAUGCUACCACUUGCCUGUGAAAACUGAGAUGCAGGAAUAGUCCACUGGGGUAUAAGAAAAUCCUGCUGUACAAAUACACUGAGCAGUGCUCUUUUUCUGCUGAUCAAUGAUUGGAGUUCUAGACAUAUGGUAUGUACUUUAGAUUUCCAUUACCCCUAGACGGCGGAUGUAUGUACUAACUUGAUUUCUGCAGCUUGUGACCCUGAUUCUUCAACACAAGUAGCAUGCUCCAGCAAACCACAGCCGUAUCAGUUUACCGAGCAGCAUACCCGUAUAUCUAAUUCUGUAGAUGCAAGACAUUCCCCUGUGCAAGACAACUGUACCUGUAUGGAAGCCGGCAGUUGUUUAAUCCCGUUAAAACCGGUAAGCAGAUCCCAAGAGCAGCCUGCCUUGCCUGUCCGAAGUACUCACUGGUCACUGCUCCCCCCACAACCACUGGAGUGAGUGGAGUCGCGCUCUCGAUGCGCUGUGGCAGUGCUGUGCCGACCAGCGCAGUCUGACAGGGGAGAUGAACAGUCGCAGGGCCGAACGCCGCCACCACCACCACAGGGCCCCAACUCCUCGCCGCGGUCCGAUGCGGCAGCGCCUUACGGGGAGGAGGAGAGCCUCAUCGGCCGCUACAGUUCUGGUCCUCGGUCGGCCCGCGGCCGCCCUUGGCAGUGACAGCUUGGCCGGCCGGGCACCGUACAUGCCCUGGGCGCCAACACAUUCAUGCCUUGCAGAGAGGUGCAACGAAUUGAAGAUGAUGAUGGAGUGGUGCUGGCUGAGCAGAGCAGGUGCGAUUCGUACGCUGUCGCUGUGAUCAGUUUGGUUAUCCACUCCAUCUGAUCUCCUGCUUUCUUGGCUGCCGCAUUUACUCCCGGCUGUGGCACACCGUUUGUUCCCUUUUGCAAGGCACUCUUCAAUAGGGAAUAGCCAACACCCAGCAGUGCAGUGCCCAUCUCUUCCUUUAAUGGCUUCUGGUCUGCAUUGCAAGAGGACCACACAGAGAGAACAAUGACAGAGAAGUAAACGGACGCACCGAUCUUAACAUCAUGCAUGCAUCUCCCAUACACUUCGAUUCUCUUUUUCCUUUUCCCUUGUGACCUUUUC